rnacentral:rRNA from 1 species
UCAGUUAUCGUUUAUUUGAUAGUACCUUACUACUUGGAUAACCGUGGUAAUUCUAGAGCUAAUACAUGCUAAAAACCCCGACUUCGGGAGGGGUGUAUUUAUUAGAUAAAAAACCAAUGCCCUUCGGGGCUCUUUGGUGAUUCAUAAUAACUUAACGGAUCGCAUGGCCUUGCGCCGGCGACGGUUCAUUCAAAUUUCUGCCCUAUCAACUUUCGAUGGUAAGGUAUUGGCUUACCAUGGUUUCAACGGGUAACGGGGAAUUAGGGUUCGAUUCCGGAGAGGGAGCCUGAGAAACGGCUACCACAUCCAAGGAAGGCAGCAGGCGCGCAAAUUACCCAAUCCCGACACGGGGAGGUAGUGACAAUAAAUACUGAUACAGGGCUCUUUUGGGUCUUGUAAUUGGAAUGAGUACAAUUUAAACCCCUUAACGAGGAACAAUUGGAGGGCAAGUCUGGUGCCAGCAGCCGCGGUAAUUCCAGCUCCAAUAGCGUAUAUUAAAGUUGUUGCAGUUAAAAAGCUCGUAGUUGAAACUUGGGCCUGGCUGGCCGGUCCGCCUCACCGCGUGUACUGGUCCGGCCGGGCCUUUCCUUCUGGAGAGCCUCAUGCCCUUCACUGGGUGUGUUGGGGAACCAGGACUUUUACUUUGAAAAAAUUAGAGUGUUCAAAGCAGGCCUUUGCUCGAAUACAUUAGCAUGGAAUAAUAGAAUAGGACGUGCGAUCCUAUUUUGUUGGUUUCUAGGACCGCCGUAAUGAUUAAUAGGGAUAGUCGGGGGCAUCAGUAUUCAAUUGUCAGAGGUGAAAUUCUUGGAUUUAUUGAAGACUAACUACUGCGAAAGCAUUUGCCAAGGAUGUUUUCAUUAAUCAGUGAACGAAAGUUAGGGGAUCGAAGACGAUCAGAUACCGUCGUAGUCUUAACCGUAAACUAUGCCGACUAGGGAUCGGGCGA